rnacentral:rRNA from 1 species
UACGGGGGGGGCAAGCGUUGUUCGGAAUUACUGGGCGUAAAGGGCUCGUAGGCGGCCAACUAAGUCGGAUGUGAAAUCCCCAGCUUAACCUGGGAACUGCAUCCGAUACUGGAUGGCUUGAAUCCGGGAGAGGGAUGCGGAAUUCCCGGUGUAGCGGUAAUAUGCGUAGAUAUCGGGAGGAACACCAGUGGCGAAGGCGGCUCUCUGGGGUAUUUCUGACGCUGAGACACGAAAGCCAGGGGAGCGAACGGGG